rnacentral:rRNA from 1 species
GACGAACGCUGGCGGCGUGCUUAACACAUGCAAGUCGAGCGGACAGGCCCUGCUUUUGUGGGGUUCUCGAGUGGCGCACGGGUGAGUAACACGUGAGUAACCUGCCCUUGACUUUGUGGUAACUUCUGGGAACUGGGGCUAAUACCGGAUAUAAUCUCCUGCUGCGUGUUGUGGGUUGGUAAGUUUCGGUGGUUGUGGAUGGACUCGCGGCUUAUCAGCUUGUUGGUCGGGUAGUUGCUUACCAGGGCUGUGACGGGUAGCCGGCCUGAGAGGGUGACCGGCCACAUGGGGACUGAGAGAGGGACCAGUAGCCAACGGGAGGCAGCAGUGGGGAAUAUGGCACAAUGGGCGGAAGUCUGAUGCAGCAACGCCGGGUGCGGGAUGACGGCCUUUUGGUGGUAAACCGAUUUCGCCGGUAACGAAGCGUGAGUGACGGUAAUGGGUAAAGAAGCACCGGCUAACUACGUG